rnacentral:rRNA from 1 species
AGUGAACGCUGGCGGCAGGCCUAACACAUGCAAGUCGAACGGCAGCACAAGAGAGCUUGCUCUCUGGGUGGCGAGUGGCGGACGGGUGAGGAAUGCAUCGGAAUCUGCCCAUUUGUGGGGGAUAACCUCGGGAAACCGGGACUAAUACCGCAUACGACCUACGGGUGAAAGCAGGGGAUCUUCGGACCUUGCGCAGAUGGAUGAGCCGAUGCCGGAUUAGCUAGUUGGAGGGGUAAAGGCCCACCAAGGCGACGAUCCGUAGCUGGUCUGAAAGGAUGAUCAGCCAGACUGGGACUGAGACACGGCCCAGACUCCUACGGGAGGCAGCAGAGGGGAAUAUUGGACAAUGGGCGCAAGCCUGAUCCAGCCAUGCCGCGUGUGUGAAGAAGGCCUUCGGGUUGUAAAGCACUUUUGUUGGGAAAGAAAAGCAGCCGGUUAAUACCCGGUUGUCAUGACGGUACCCAAAGAAUAAGCACCGGCUAACUUCGUGCCAGCAGCCGCAGUAACAC